CGGACGGGUGAGGAAUACAUCGGAAUCUGCCUUGUUGUGGGGGAUAACGUAGGGAAACUUACGCUAAUACCGCAUAAGACCUCAGGGUGAAAGCGGAGGACCUUCGGGCUUCGCGCGACAAGAUGAGCCGAUGUCGGAUUAGCUAGUUGGCGGGGUAAAGGCCCACCGAGGCGACGAUCGGUAGCUGGUCUGAGAGGACGACCAGCCACACUGGAACUGAGACACGGUCCAG
rnacentral:rRNA from 1 species